rfam:Cucumis sativus cultivar 9930 chromosome 6, whole genome shotgun sequence.
GUACCUUUCUUAGCCUUUUGGCUAAGAACAAGUGUAGUUAUAUGUUCUUAUCAGUUUAAUAUUCGAUACAUGGCCCAUUGUUUUACAUGAUAUUAAAUUAAUUUUUCAUGGUGGAUUCCCCACCGCACAGCAGCUUGGCUGCUUGGGGUAUUCGAGCGUUGCCACGGCUUUGCAUUACAGCCCAGGUCUGGCGUACCGCUC